CGCUGGCGGCGUGCCUAAACACAUGCAAGUCGAGCGAAUGAAGUUCCUUCGGGAACGGAUUUAGCGGCGGACGGGUGAGUAACACGUGGGCAACCUGCCUCAUAGAGGGGAAUAGCCUUCCGAAAGGGAGAUUAAUACCGCAUAAGAUUAUAGUACCGCAUGGUACAGCAAUUAAAGGAGCAAUCCGCUAUGAGAUGGGCCCGCGGCGCAUUAGCUAGUUGGUGAGGUAACGGCUCACCAAGGCGACGAUGCGUAGCCGACCUGAGAGGGUGAUCGGCCACAUUGGGACUGAGACACGGCCCAGACUCCUACGGGAGGCAGCAGUGGGGAAUAUUGCACAAUGGGGGAAACCCUGAUGCAGCAACGCCGCGUGAGUGAUGACGGCCUUCGGGUUGUAAAGCUCUGUCUUCAGGGACGAUAAUGACGGUACCUGAGGUGGAAGCCACGGCUAACUACGUG
rnacentral:rRNA from 1 species